rnacentral:rRNA from 1 species
CUUGUCGGGUAAGUUCCGACCCGCACGAAAGGCGUAAUGAUUUGGGCACUGUCUCAACGAGAGACUCGGUGAAAUUUUAGUACCUGUGAAGAUGCAGGUUACCCGCGACAGGACGGAAAGACCCCAUGGAGCUUUACUGCAGUUUGAUAUUGAGUAUCUGUACCACAUGUACAGGAUAGGUAGGAGCCAUUGACUUCGGGACGCCAGUUUCGAAUGAGGCGUUGUUGGGAUACUACCCUUGUGUUAUGGCUACUCUAACCCAGAUAGGUUAUCCCUAUCGGAGACAGUGUCUGACGGGCAGUUUGACUGGGGCGGUCGCCUCCUAAAGAGUAACGGAGGCGCCCAAAGGUUCCCUCAGAUUGGUUGGAAAUCAAUCGCAGAGUGUAAAGGUAUAAGGGAGCUUGACUGCGAGAGCUACAACUCGAGCAGGGACGAAAGUCGGGCUUAGUGAUCCGGUGGUACCGAAUGGAAGGGCCAUCGCUCAAC